AACAAGGUUUCCAUAGGUGAACCUGCGGAAGGAUCAUUG
rnacentral:rRNA from 1 species